UUGUUUGUUUGUUUUAUACCAUUAAUGUAAUGUUUGUCUUCUUUCUCUUUUGAGUACUGAUUUCCAUCUAGUCUUGAGUGCAAAGUUUAGCUCCAGCCCCAAUCAUGUACAGCUGAACCAGCUGAUUUAGGUCUUCAGGAUUACCAUAGACUUCCAAGCAGGUGUGUGGACAGGUUGGAGCUGAACUCUGCCAGAUGUUGGUCCUUCAGGACACCACUGUUCUAAACAAAGAGCCACCAGGUUGCUGCAUCUGUAAUAUGAUGGAACAAAAAGUAGGCUGGCCACAGCAUCUGAAAUGGAAGGAGCAGAAGAACAGCAAUCAGGCAGAGCUCUACUGUUGCCCCUUAGAG